UGGAGGUUGUGGCCUUGAGCCGUGGCUUUCGGAGCUAACGCGUUAAGUAGACCGCCUGGGGAGUACGGUCGCAAGAUUAAAACUCAAAUGAAUUGACGGGGGCCCGCACAAGCGGUGGAGCAUGUGGUUUAAUUCGAUGCAACGCGAAGAACCUUACCUACUCUUGACAUCCAGAGAACUUUCCAGAGAUGGAUUGGUGCCUUCGGGAACUCUGAGACAGGUGCUGCAUGGCUGUCGUCAGCUCGUGUCGUGAGAU
rnacentral:rRNA from 1 species